AACGAACGCUGGCGGCGUGCUUAACACAUGCAAGUCGAACGGAAAGGCCCUGCUUUGGUGGGGAGCUCGAGUGGCGAACGGGUGAGUUACACGUGAGUAAGCUGCCCUUGACUUUGGGAUAACUUCAGAAAACUGGGGCUAAUACCGGCUAGGAGCUCCUGCUGCAUGGUGGGGGUUGGAAAGUUUCGGUGGUUGGGGAUGGACGCGCGGCUUAUUAGCUUGUUGGUGGGGUAGUGGCUUAGCAAGGCUUUGAGGGGUAGCCGACCUGAGAGGGUGACCGGCCACAUUGGGAUGGAGAUACGGCACGGCCUCGAACGGUAGGCAGGGGUGGAGAGUAGUAUACAAUGGGCGGAAGCAUGAUGUAAUACAGCAGCGUGGGGGAAGAGGUCAAGGGGGUUGUAAAGCGCAGUCGCCUGAGACGAAGCGUUAGUGACGGUAACGGGAGAAGAAGCACCGGCUAACUACGUG
rnacentral:rRNA from 1 species